rnacentral:rRNA from 1 species
UACGAAGGGUGCUAGCGUUGUUCGGAAUUACUGGGCGUAAAGGGCGCGUAGGCGGCUCUUUAAGUUGGAAGUGAAAUCCCAUGGCUUAACCAUGGAAUUGCUUUCAAGACUGGAGAGCUAGAGUAUGGUAGAGGGUAGUGGAAUUCCUGGUGUAGAGGUGAAAUUCGUAGAUAUCAGGAGGAACACCGGUGGCGAAGGCGGCUACCUGGGCCAUUACUGACGCUGAGGCGCGAAAGCGUGGGGAGCAAACAGG